UGGACCAGUGUUUGACCAAGUUUGACCAGGUUUGACCAGAUUUGACAAGGUUUGACGAGGUUUGACGAGGUUUGAUUCUUGAAAUGAGAAGGUUUUCGGUUGAUUUCGUGGGAAAAUAGGAAUGGAAGAG